AUGAGGCGUGAAGGGAGGGACGCGCGCGGCCACGCUCCCCGCAGGACGCGGCUCCGGACCCGGCGUCGGGGCUCCGCGGGACCCAGGUGUUCCCGAGGGGAAGAAACUGGCAGAAAGUGGACGCCUCCGCCCGCUGCCCCCCCCCCCCCACACACACACACAGGUAACGGCACCACAGCUGCCUUCCGCACACGCGGCUCCCGGCGCCAACGCCAACGCCUCCGCGCCCUCCGGGACCCUCCGACCCCGGCUCAAGCUCCUCCCCGCCCGCGGGCCCCGGCGGGAGCGGCGGCGGCGGCGGCGGGGAGCGGGGAGCGGGGAGCGGGCCGCGCUCGCUGCCAUUGGCUGUGCGGCCCGAGGGGCGGGGGCCCCGCAGUCCCGCCGGCUCCGCGGCCCCGGCUCCCGCCCGCCCUCCCGCAGCCGGUGCGCUCGAGCCCUGCGCUCCCCGGACGGCCGCGCGGGGGCGGGGCGCCGAGGCGGGGGCGGGGGCGGGGCGCGGCGGGGCGCGGGCGGGGCGCGGGCGGGGAGCUCAGCGCAGCUCCAGUCCGGGCCGGGCCGGCGCGCCGCGGGAGGGGAGGUCGCCGCGCGCGGGCUCGCAGGUCAGUGCAGGCUCCCGGCGCCGCCUCGAGCGGGGCGGGGCGUGGGGGCCGGGGCCGGGGCGGGGGCCGGGGCGCCGGGCCCUGGGGGCGGGCUCGCCCUCCGCGGGGAGCGCCCUGCCUCCUCUCCUGGGGCGGCCUCCGCUCCCUCCGAGCGCCCCCCCCGCGGCUCUCCGCGGCUCCCAGGGGUGUGGCUCCGUCCUGGGAGCCCCCUGAGUGCAUCCCCUCGGCGGCCAGCAGGCUCCGCGGGUCGGCGGUCGCGAUCCUCGGGAGGACCCGGCGGGGCUGCGCAGGGCCGCGGCCCCGGGACGACCCGCUCCUGUCCCGGACACAGCCGGGAGGAUCUGCCCUCGCGAGCGCUGCUGCAAGCAUUGAUUCCGCCGUCAAGUGGUCGUCUGUCCCCUCCGGGCACUCCCCGCGUGCACUGCCGGCCUUGCACCUUCGCGCGCCCGCAGAGCCUUUGCACCCGUCUUAGGUGCUUCAAAUCCGGGCAGAAUGCUCUGAAGAGAUUGACACAUGUUCAUGGUUCUCAUUAAAGAAGCUUCAUGUAAGGUAAGAUCCAUUCCAUUUUCCCUGCUGUUCGUUCAAUUCAACAGAUUUUAUUGGAUGUCUAUGAUGUGCACAAGCUUGUCAGGAGUUAAGGGAUAAAUAAUGGUGUGAUGACAUGUGGCAUCAAAUCCAUCAGAGGAUUUAUUUGCAGGUUUCCUAAGAGGUUUCUUUUCAUUUUUUUUUCUUUCUCUUUUUCUUUCUUUUUUUUUUUUUUUAAUGAAGGCAGAUGAAGGAGGACAGCGAUUG
rnacentral:lncRNA from 1 species